AAUCAUUUUAUGGUGCCAAAAUUUAAUAGAUUUAAUAUAACUAUUCAUUCUUUUCCAACAUGUUUAUUCCUUAGUAGAUAUAUUCAUGCUGUCAGGGCCCGUACAAAGCAGGUUCAGUGCAUUCGCCGGAACCCGGUCCCGCGUUUUGAGAGGCCCCGUGGUUUACGAAAAUUACCCAAUUAAAAAAUACUGAUUUUGAUUAACUUUUUACAGAAUGAUGAUACCAUUAACAGAUGCAAGAUAUUUUUUUAGUAGCGAAGAUUCAGUUUAAAGGAGUGACAAAAAUCAUCAAAGUUCAGUGUAACUCCAUAAAGUCCUCAUAUCCU
rnacentral:lncRNA from 1 species